rnacentral:rRNA from 1 species
AUUGAACGCUGGCGGCAGGCUUAACACAUGCAAGUCGAGCGGUAGCACAAGAGAGCUUGCUCUNNGGGUGACGAGCGGCGGACGGGUGAGUAAUGUCUGGGAAACUGCCUGAUGGAGGGGGAUAACUACUGGAAACGGUAGCUAAUACCGCAUAACGUCGCAAGACCAAAGAGGGGGACCUUCGGGCCUCUUGCCAUCAGAUGUGCCCAGAUGGGAUUAGCUAGUAGGUGGGGUAAUGGCUCACCUAGGCGACGAUCCCUAGCUGGUCUGAGAGGAUGACCAGCCACACUGGAACUGAGACACGGUCCAGACUCCUACGGGAGGCAGCAGUGGGGAAUAUUGCACAAUGGGCGCAAGCCUGAUGCAGCCAUGCCGCGUGUGUGAAGAAGGCCUUCGGGUUGUAAAGCACUUUCAGCGAGGAGGAAGGUGGUGAACUUAAUACGUUCAUCAAUUGACGUUACUCGCAGAAGAAGCACCGGCUAACUCCGUGCCAGCAGCCGCGGUAAUACGGAGGGUGCAAGCGUUAAUCGGAAUUACUGGGCGUAAAGCGCACGCAGGCGGUUUGUUAAGUCAGAUGUGAAAUCCCCGGGCUCAACCUGGGAACUGCAUUUGAAACUGGCAAGCUAGAGUCUCGUAGAGGGGGGUAGAAUUCCAGGUGUAGCGGUGAAAUGCGUAGAGAUCUGGAGGAAUACCGGUGGCGAAGGCGGCCCCCUGGACGAAGACUGACGCUCAGGUGCGAAAGCGUGGGGAGCAAACAGG